AUCCUUUUGUGGCUGAUAUGUGUGAUGAGGGGGUUUUCACACUCUUGCGUGGGACGUGAAACAUCCUUAGAACAGUGGCACAUUACCUGUCUUACA
ensembl:snoRNA